rnacentral:misc_RNA from 1 species
UAGUCCUUCAAUGCUGGCACCGAAAAUUUCGUAAUGAACCCUUAACUCCUUCUGGACAGCAUACCAACACCAUUCAAAACUUCAGAACUCGAAUCUUAACCAGAAAUGGCAUGGGUAAAUAAAAUGAGUCAAACGGACUGCGGGUAACAAGAAAUUAAGGAGAAGGAAGCUUUCAAACCAAGGCUGUAACGCAGCAACACCAGCUGGAGGCGGAAGAUCUGAUGCUGCCUUGGUUGUUCCGGCGGCGAGCAACAACGUCCGACGAUGGUGAGCAACGCCGCGGUGACUUGCGCGUAAAGAGAGAGAGAGAGAGAGA